UACGGAGGGGACUAGCGUUGUUCGGAAUUACUGGGCGUAAAGCGCACGUAGGCGGAUUUGUAAGUCAGGGGGUGAAAUCCCGGGGCUCAACCUCGGAACUGCCUUUGAUACUGCAAAUCUCGAGUCCGGAAGAGGUGAGUGGAAUUCCUAGUGUAGAGGUGAAAUUCGUAGAUAUUAGGAAGAACACCAGUGGCGAAGGCGGCUCACUGGUCCGGUACUGACGCUGAGGUGCGAAAGCGUGGGGAGCAAACAGG
rnacentral:rRNA from 1 species